rnacentral:rRNA from 1 species
GACGAACGCUGGCGGCGUGCCUAAUACAUGCAAGUUGAGCGCUGAAGGUUGGUACUUGUACCAACUGGAUGAGCAGCGAACGGGUGAGUAACGCGUGGGGAAUCUGCCUUUGAGCGGGGGACAACAUUUGGAAACGGAUGCUAAUACCGCAUAAAAACUUUAAACACAAGUUUUAAGUUUGAAAGAUGCAAUUGCAUCACUCAAAGAUGAUCCCGCGUUGUAUUAGCUAGUUGGUGAGGUAAAGGCUCACCAAGGCGAUGAUACAUAGCCGACCUGAGAGGGUGUUCGGCCACAUUGGGACUGAGACACGGCCCAAACUCCUACGGGAGGCAGCAGUAGGGAAUCUUCGGCAAUGGACGAAAGUCUGACCGAGCAACGCCGCGUGAGUGAAGAAGGUUUUCGGAUCGUAAAACUCUGUUGGUAGAGAAGAACGUUGGUGAGAGUGGAAAGCUCAUCAAGUGACGGUAACUACCCAGAAAGGGACGGCUAACUACGUG